GACAUCCAGGAGUGAGAUAUAUCAGCUGGAUGAGUGGUGUGGCAGCAACAACCUUGCACUCAAUAUCAACAAGAGCAAAGAAGUGAUCAUGGACAUCAGGAUGGCAAAGAAGAGGGAACACACACCAAGGAUCAGAAUAACUUGUCAGAAGGUGCCAGCAUGUUGACAGUAAGGAAGGAUAUCUAAAGGCUAAGGCCUUACUACAGGAAUAUUUUCAUAUGGAACAGAAAAUUGCAUCUGCCUACAUGCAAAACGUUCUCUCUUGGGUACUUAUCAAAUCUGAAGAUGUGAAGGCUCUUAGAGGCUGGUGUAAUGCCAUGGAAGAAGUGCAGUACAUGUGUGAAUUGGACAUGCCUACCAACAUGUCGACUGUAAAGAAAUUGCCCUGUAUGCUCAGGGAUAAAUGGAGAAUGGUGGUCUGUAAACUGCAAGAAAAGCACAACGAUGCUAGAGACAGGGGAACAAGGGAGACUCGGUAGCGGAACCUAUGGUGAAAAGACCAAUGCUGGAAGAACUCAAAGGUCAAGCAGCAUCUGUGAGGGGCAGGCAGUCGGCCCGGGCAGAGUCCUCAACUGCCUAAAGAUGUAAAUCAACAUCAACGUAACAUCAACCAACGUCAACUAACAUCAACCAACAUCGACAUAACAUCAACCAAUAUCAACUGGAAUCUGAAGGAAGAAACAAAAUGCUAUCAGAACUCAGCAGGUCAGGCAGCAUCUGUGGCAGAACAUCGUCGACAUUUCCGGGCAAGACCCUCAUCUUGGCAUCAGGAAACAACUUCUGUGAGGCAGAUAUUGAUCAAUGGGGUCAACCCCAGAUGGGGGAGAUGAGAGAGAAGCAUUAGACUGGAUGAGAUACUAAAAGGGAUGGAGACAAAUAGUAGAGUGGGGUUUGAUAUUAAAGGGUGUUAGGCGAGAUGUGAAAGCACAGUUGGAUUGGGUGGACUAUCACAGGCUUUGGUGAGUCAGGGUUGUGGAGAACAUUUAAGGAAGCAGGGAAGAGGGGGAAAUAAGGAAUAGACUGGAUCAGGUUAAUGUACUGUAUUGUGCUAAGAAAGGCAAAAGAAGAUUGAACUGGUGAGAUAUUUAAAGAAGGAGUGAGGGUGAAAUUUCUGACCCCCACCCCACUCCCCAUCCAGCACGUCAGUGCUCCCAAUUGUCGUGAUCUGCAGCCAGAAUUCAAAUCAUUUUUUAGCAUUCUGUUUUAGUUUCAGUUUCCAUUUCUAGCUCUCUGUGAGCCCAAUAGUUUUGUUUCCCCGAUGUAAACUGCACAGGGAGCGGGGCAGGACAUGAAUCAACAGGGGCACACAGCCAGAUUGUGGUAGAGCUUCCUCAUCCCUGCAGUCUUUAAUAUCCAAAACUAAUCUACUCCCUUGGCCCUCACUCCCCACUGGCUUUAAUUCCCCACCAACUCAUAUCCCAGUCCCCACAUGCUUUUGUAUGGCACCCCACUCAGCUGCCACACCCUUUAUGGCCUGUUUCGUUGUGCACUCUUAGAUGUGCAGAACUGGGUGAGCACUGCCUUUGUCUGAGGACUCUCACUCCGAUCCUAUGUUAAUGCCUGACUGUGGGGAUUAAUACCAGAAACAAGCGUUGCCAAGGUUGUUCUCAGAACAAACAAUGCACAUGACAAAUAUCUGAUUGUAAGUAGUGUGUUAUAUUAGACCGAGGUGCCGUGAAAGAAUCAGAAUUAGGUUUAUCAUCACUGACAUAAAUUGUGAAAUACAGAUUAGCUUAACUUGCCACAUGGGCAUCGAAACAUACAAUGAAGUGAAUGGUUUUGAGUCAAAUCAAAUCAAAUCAGAGAAAACUGUGCUGGGAAAGUUUCACGAUGCUUCCUGC